UACUUUACAGUAUGUAGGUAUGUACGUUAUAAUACGUAGUUGCUACUAAAUUGUAGCUAUGGUAAUAAACGUUGUUCGAAAUAAGAACUUCGGACCCGGGGGCGGUACCCGGCGCUUCCACCAUUUAUUUAUGGGAGCGAAAUAGGAUCGACGAGUUUAGUAAAGGGAUAAUUUUUACCCAGUAUGAUUCCGCUGGAUCUUUUGAUCUUGGGUCAAAAAAAGUAAAUGCAAACGAUAAUAAUCGCUUGUCGGCUGUUGCUGCUUAAUUGUAUCUAGCCACGGGGUUGGGGACUUACCUGGCAACAGAAAAGUCCUAUU
rnacentral:tmRNA from 1 species